CAUUAGGUAGCUAAUAAAGAAAAGCAUUAGUCUUUUAAACUAAUAUUGGUAUUUAUCAACUACCCCUAAUGA
rnacentral:tRNA from 1 species